rnacentral:misc_RNA from 1 species
GAAAUGCGAUACGUAAUGUGAAUUGCAAAUUCAGUGAAUCAUCGAGUCUUUGAACGCACAUUGCGCCCCCUGGUAUUCUGGGGGGCAUGCCUGUCCGAGCGUCAUUUCUGCCCUCAAGCACGGCUUGUGUGUUGGGUCCCGUCCUCCGAUCCCGGGGGACGGGCCCGAAAGGCGGCGGCGGCACCGCGUCCGGUCCUCGAGCGUAUGGGGCUUUGUCACCCGCUCUGUAGGCCCGGCCGGCGCUUGCCGAUCAACCCAAAUUUUUAUCCAGGUUGACCUCGGAUCAGGUAGGGAUACCCGCUGAACUUAAGC